GUCCUUUUGCAGUUUGUAAGCAAGAUGAGUGUGUGUUCAUUCCCAUAUGUGAGAUGUGCCUCCCUCAAACCUUGUUUCCUGUCGGCACAUUACCUGUCUGACA
rfam:Pan troglodytes isolate Yerkes chimp pedigree #C0471 (Clint) chromosome 6, whole genome shotgun sequence.